GAGUUUGAUCCUGGCUCAGGACCAACGCUGGCGGCGUGCUUAACACAUGCAAGUCGAACGGAAAGGCCCCGCUCGCGGGGUACUCGAGUGGCGAACGGGUGAGUAACACGUGGGUGAUCUGCCCUGCACUUCGGGAUAAGCCUGGGAAACUGGGUCUAAUACCGGAUAUGACCUCCCUUUAGUGUGGGGGGUGGAAAGAUUUAUCGGUGCAGGAUGAGCCCGCGGCCUAUCAGCUUGUUGGUGGGGUAAUGGCCUACCAAGGCGUCGACGGGUAGCCGGCCUGAGAGGGUGGACGGCCACAUUGGGACUGAGAUACGGCCCAGACUCCUACGGGAGGCAGCAGUGGGGAAUAUUGCACAAUGGGCGGAAGCCUGAUGCAGCGACGCCGCGUGGGGGAUGACGGCCUUCGGGUUGUAAACCUCUUUCGACAGGGACGAAGUGAAAAUGACGGUACCUGUAUAAGAAGCACCGGCUAACUACGUGCCAGCAGCCGCGGUAAUACGUAGGGUGCGAGCGUUGUCCGGAAUUACUGGGCGUAAAGAGCUCGUAGGUGGUUUGUCACGUCGUCUGUGAAAUUCCGGGGCUUAACCUCGGGCGUGCAGGCGAUACGGGCAAUACUUGAGUGCUGUAGGGGAGACUGGAAAUCCUGCUGUAGCGGUGAAAUGCGCAGAUAUCAGGAGGAACACCAAUGGCGAAGGCAGGUCUCUGGGCAGUUACUGACGCUGAGGAGCGAAAGCAUGGGUAGCGAACAGGAUUAGAUACCCUGGUAGUCCAUGCCGUAAACGGUGGGCGCUAGGUGUAGGGGACUUCCACGUUCUCUGUGCCGUAGCUAACGCAUUAAGCGCCCCGCCUGGGGAGUACGGCCGCAAGGCUAAAACUCAAAGGAAUUGACGGGGGCCCGCACAAGCGGCGGAGCAUGUGGAUUAAUUCGAUGCAACGCGAAGAACCUUACCUGGGCUUGACAUACACCGGACCGGCGUAGAGAUACGUCUUCCCUUGUGGCCGGUGUACAGGUGGUGCAUGGUUGUCGUCAGCUCGUGUCGUGAGAUGUUGGGUAAGUCCCGCAACGAGCGCAACCCUUGUCUUAUGUUGCCAGCACGUGAUGGUGGGGACUCAUGAGAGACUGCCGGGGUCAACUCGGAGGAAGGUGGGGAUGACGUCAAAUCAUCAUGCCCCUUAUGUCCAGGGCUUCACACAUGCUACAAUGGUCGGUACAGCAGGUCGCGAAUUCGUGAGAGUAAGCCAAUCCUUCAAAGCCGGCCUCAGUUCGGAUUGGGGUCUGCAACUCGACCCCAUGAAGUCGGAGUCGCUAGUAAUCGCAGAUCAGCAACGCUGCGGUGAAUACGUUCCCGGGCCUUGUACACACCGCCCGUC
rnacentral:rRNA from 1 species